GACGAACGCUGGCGGUGUGCUUAACACAUGCAAGUCGAGCGACGAACCAGAGCUUUCUCUGGGGCAAAGCCUCGAGCGGGUGUGUAACACAUGUGUGAUCUACCCCGAUGACCGUGACAACCCUUGGAGACUCUGGCGAAUACCGGGGGUAGUACGUAUUCAUACGUCUCUUCACUAAAGGUAUCUUCGGCUUCCGCAUUGGGAUGGGCCCUCGGCCUAUUAGCUUGUUGGUGGGGUCAAGGCCUACCAAGGCAACGAUGGGUAGCUGGUCUGAGAGGCCGAUAGGCCACACUGGAACUGAGACACGGACAAGACUCCUAAGGGAGGCAGCAGUGGGGAAUCUUGCGCAAUGGGCGAAAGCGUGACGCAGCAACCCCGAGUGAGGGAAGAAGGCCUUAGGGUCGUAAACAUCUUUUAGAUGGGACGAACGUCUUUCGGUGAAUAGGAGAGAGGAUUGACGGUAACGGGAGAAGAAGCUCCGGCUAACUACGUG
rnacentral:rRNA from 1 species